rnacentral:rRNA from 1 species
UACAGAGGGCCCAAGCGUUGUUCGGAUUCAUUGGGCGUAAAGGGUGCGUAGGCGGCGCGGUAAGUCGGGUGUGAAAUCUCGGAGCUUAACUCCGAAACUGCAUUCGAUACUGCCGUGCUUGAGGACUGGAGAGGAGACUGGAAUUUACGGUGUAGCGGUGAAAUGCGUAGAUAUCGUAAGGAAGACCAGUGGCGAAGGCGGGUCCCUGGACAGUUCCUGACGCUGAGGCACGAAGGCCAGGGGAGCAAACGGG